UAGGGAAUAUUGGACAAUGGGCGCAAGCCUGAUCCAGCCAUGCCGCGUGAGUGAAGAAGGCCCUCGGGUUGUAAAGCUCUUUUGUCCGGAAAGAAAAGCAUCGGGUUAAUACCCCGGUGUUCUGACGGUACCGGAAGAAUAAGCACCGGCUAACUUCGUGCCAGCAGCCGCGGUAAUACGAAGGGUGCAAGCGUUACUCGGAAUUACUGGGCGUAAAGCGUGCGUAGGUGGUUCGUUAAGUCUGAUGUGAAAGCCCUGGGCUCAACCUGGGAAUGGCAUUGGAAACUGGCGGACUGGAGUGCGGUAGAGGGUAGCGGAAUUCCCGGUGUAGCAGUGAAAUGCGUAGAGAUCGGGAGGAACAUCCGUGGCGAAGGCGGCUACCUGGACCAGCACUGACGCUGAGGCACGAAAGCGUGGGGAGCAAAC
rnacentral:rRNA from 1 species